rnacentral:tRNA from 1 species
GCCGCUAUAGCUCAGCUGGCUAGAGCAGCUGAUUUGUAAUCAGCAGGUCGUGGGUUCGAGUCCCUCUAGUGGCU